UCUAAGAAAGAAAAACAUCAUAUUAUUUGAAUAACUUGGAUAUCAAGAUUUCAAUAAUGACUCAACAAACAUACAUCAUAGAAAAUGCACAGCUUGCUUCUAAUAGAGACAUUAAAAACGUUAACAGAAAUAGAGGAGGAGGAAGACCCUCCUCUGCACAGACACCACUCUUUUAUUUCCGAGCACUCUUCAAACCAAAACAUUUUUUUAACGAUAAUUAAUAAACAAUAAUUAAAAGUUAAAACAACAAAAAUAAAAAUAGCAUCAUCCUUUAUCUACUUUCUUGUUUUUUAGGUUAUGCAUUCCCUCCAGUAUAAAUACAACUAUUAUAACCUACAAAAUAAACAAAGCAUAUAUUGUAAAGUGAGCAUUCAAUUUAGUAAAAUAAUCAAAGUAGUUCAAUCGUCUAGAAAUUUAAAAUCAUAUCUUCCACACUCUCAAUUGCCAAAAUCUAAAGUGAUAAACAAGACAAAAGUCAUAUAACUUUCAGAAAACACUUCCACUUUUGUUUUUGAAACUCAGAUGUGGUGGUCAAGUCCUAUGGUUUGUUUGGGCUUUGGCUAAUCACCGGAGGUUGUUUCCUCUUGACUUUGUUACUGUGUUGUUCUCUUUGUGNGCCUGACUUGUUUAUUAAAAAGGCUAGGCUUAGGCUUUUUAAAAAGCUUAUUUAUGUAAAUAGGUCAGGCUUAGGCUAUCAAAAAAGCCUAUGAAGCCUAAUAGGUCGGCCUGUUUAUGCAUGUUAGACUUCAUAGUGAACUUUUUAAAUAGGCUUUAAAGCUUUAUAGUGAAAUAAGUUUUUAAGGCCUUAAAGUAGUGAUAGAGAAGUCUUACACUGAAAUAGGCUUUGAGGCCUACUAAGCCUAUUUAAAAGUAGAUAAAAUGGAAUGUUUAGUGACUUUAAUAGUAAGUAGGCCUGUAAAUAGGCUUUCAGGUCAGGCCAGACUUUUAAAUAGGCCAGACCAGGCCAAAAAAAUAGGCUUAUGAAAGGCUAUAGGCCAGGCUCAGGCCUGCAAAUUUUUUCGUAGGCCAGGCUCAGGCCUAUCAAAGCCUGGCCUGGCCUAGCCUAUUCCCAACCCUAUAUACGGCAAUCAUUUUCACCUCUGGAUGUACCGCAUAUAUACGAUACUUUGUAUUUAUCUUUUAAAAAAUAUAAAUAGAACAUUGCUCUUUUAAAAAAAUACGUUUUGAUUUUAUCACUGACCUCUUUUCAUUCUCAGAACCGAGCCUCCGAAUUUUCAAGGACGGCCCUGGUUUUGGUAAUAAGAUAGCUCUAAAAUUACUCGAUCAUAUUUGUCAAUUAGAUCUUACUUACAGUCCCAUAAUCUUUGAAUGGUUGAUCAAAAUAUUGACUCUUACUUGAAGAGUAUAGUACCCUUAAAGCUUCUAUCAUUUUAUUUUUGGAGAUUACUAUUGGAUAAAAUUCAUACAAGAACUGCCUUUGCUAGCAGAGGAGUUUUAUAAAUAGCUUUGGUAGUAGAGAAGUCUUGUAUUUUCUAUGAUUCUGAUGAGAACUCUUCACAUUUAUUUAUUGUGUGCACUAAUCACAUUUCCUUUCAAAAAACAAAAUUAACAAAAUUUGGUUAAUAUUAAUGCUUGAAUUGGCUUUUCUAUUAAUAAACUUGAAACAAACACACCCUUAAUUUUAAUUUUAUUUUGGGGCUUCAUUUUUGUCGUUAACGGUUAUACCAAAAUUCCCUUAAUUAAAUAAAAACAGUUAUAGCAAAAUUGCCUAUCUCAUUGCUUAUGUAUCAUCAUAACAUUCCAUUUUUAGUGAUGUAGCAGAGUGUCUCAUGCUUUAGCAAUAAUUUCUCAACAAGUUAAGUUUACCUAUAAAAGAUGACAAAAUUCUAAGAAAGAAAAACAUCAUAUUAUUUGAAUAACUUGGAUAUCAAGAUUUCAAUAAUGACUCAACAAACAUACAUCAUAGAAAAUGCACAGCUUGCUUCUAAUAGAGACAUUAAAAACGUUAACAGAAAUAGAGGAGGAGGAAGACCCUCCUCUGCACAGACACCACUCUUUUAUUUCCGAGCACUCUUCAAACCAAAACAUUUUUUUAACGAUAAUUAAUAAACAAUAAUUAAAAGUUAAAACAACAAAAAUAAAAAUAGCAUCAUCCUUUAUCUACUUUCUUGUUUUUUAGGUUAUGCAUUCCCUCCAGUAUAAAUACAACUAUUAUAACCUACAAAAUAAACAAAGCAUAUAUUGUAAAGUGAGCAUUCAAUUUAGUAAAAUAAUCAAAGUAGUUCAAUCGUCUAGAAAUUUAAAAUCAUAUCUUCCACACUCUCAAUUGCCAAAAUCUAAAGUGAUAAACAAGACAAAAGUCAUAUAACUUUCAGAAAACACUUCCACUUUUGUUUUUGAAACUCAGAUGUGGUGGUCAAGUCCUAUGGUUUGUUUGGGCUUUGGCUAAUCACCGGAGGUUGUUUCCUCUUGACUUUGUUACUGUGUUGUUCUCUUUGUGUUGUUGUUAGUGGUCUUUUGGCACACCUUGUGCGAAGAGAUUGCUAUCGCUUUUGGUAAUAUAAUUUCAUUUUGGCUUGUUCAAAAAAAAAAAAUCUAAAGGGAUAAACAAGACAAAAGUUAUUAGAAAAUGGUGUACCAAGUCAGAACCAAUUUGCCCCACUAAUAAUCAGUUAUUACCUAAUUAAUAGAGAAUACAAAAGACCCUAAUAUAGUAUUGUCUAAAAGGAACUUGCCUACUAUAAAAUGAGCUAUCCAUGGAUAAAGUAAAAAUCUACCAUUGAUUAUUGACAAGAAAAUCAAUUGAUGUUUUUUUUUUUUGGUCAAGUAGCCUAGUGGCCAGAGCUCACACAAUUUAAUUGUGGAAAAGUGGAGUGUCCGGGGUUCGAACCUCGGCCCCUGCAUAUAAAAUGCAAUAUCCCUACCAACUGAGCUAAGCUCACGGGGAUAAUCAAUUGAUGUUGUUAUUCAAACACAUUUUAUAAUUUGUUAUAAUUUUGCACAUACUAUGUUUUAUGGUUGAGAUUAUAGCUUUCUCACUAUAGAAAAAUUGAAUUUCUCAAAGAUCGGAAGAUAGGAUAUAAAAAAAUGUCGCGCAAAAACCGCAUGAGAACUUACUUG
rnacentral:lncRNA from 1 species